GGCGAAGGGCUACAACACAUUAUAAACACGAAUAGGCUACAUGCAGUCUGCAAUGGAUUAAUUUUGUUGGUUAUCUUUUCUUUUCAGUAUUCUUUUAUGUAGUUGUAGUUUUAGAUUAGAAUCUUAGAUUUUCAUUAUUAUUACAAUGACAAGUGUGCCAUCUGAGGAAGAAACGGGAAAUCCCAUCGAUGAUGUAGCCGAAACAGAAAAGUUUGAGUUUGGGAAAGGAUACGAUUUAACUUAUUUUAAAGAUAUUAGGGAGAAAUAUCGAGGAAAAGAGAAAGGCAAGAAGAAGAACUGCACAAGGCCUUGUUGAAAUUCCCAGUUAUCCAACCCGCCCAGCCCUUUGGUUGGAUUUUAAAAAGUCCAAAGGAACCUGCAGCUCCAGACGUACAUCCAUUCACAGCAUUCAAUCUAAAACAGCCUUCGAAAAUGGAAUGGACCAUUUUACGCUGUCUGCAUCCCAAAAUGUACAGGAAUGGUCCACUGACGUCAGUGGGUAUGGGAAUCUUGCAGGUGAGUUUAUGAAAACACCAGAAUGUCAUGCUGCAGUAGUCGCUUGGACUGCGUUGGUUAAAAAAUACCAAUUGAAAAGGGAAACAGAUUCAGGCUGAUGUUGAAUCCGACUUUUUGGAUGAAGACACGUUCGCCUACGACAUUGAAAAUGGCAUCGAAGACCUUCUAUUAGAUAAUAUUCAAGAAGAUGGUGAUGAGGAAAAUGAAGCAUACGAAGAAGAUAGCGAAGAGGAGACUGCUGAUUACCAGGAUUACAGCGACGAAGAGACAAACGAUUAUCAAGACUACGCUGACGAGGACAAUGAAGGAAACAAUUAAUAUCGAUCGUUUAAAACUCUCUUAUAUAUAGUUAUGCUAAUCCUGUAAUUAGGGCUACUUUUGAAAUGGAGCUAUUGAUGAAAGGGAAUAAAAGUAUAAUUAUGAGGUU